rnacentral:rRNA from 1 species
GAUGAACGCUGGCGGCGUGCCUAAUACAUGCAAGUCGAGCGAACAGACGAGGAGCUUGCUCCUCUGACGUUAGCGGCGGACGGGUGAGUAACACGUGGAUAACCUACCUAUAAGACUGGGAUAAAUUCGGGAAACCGGAGCUAAUACCGGAUAAUAUAUUUAACCGCAGUGUUCAAUAGUGAAAGACGGUUUUGCUGUCACUUAUAGAUGGAUCCGCGCCGCCUUAGCUAGUUGGUAAGGUAACGGCUUACCAAGGCAACGAUGCGUAGCCGACCUGAGAGGGUGAUCGGCCACACUGGAACUGAGACACGGUCCAGACUCCUACGGGAGGCAGCAGUAGGGAAUCUUCCGCAAUGGGCGAAAGCCUGACGGAGCAACGCCGCGUGAGUGAUGAAGGUCUUCGGAUCGUAAAACUCUGUUAUUAGGGAAGAACAAAUGUGUAAGUAACUAUGCACGUCUUGACGGUACCUAAUCAGAAAGCCACGGCUAACUACGUG